rnacentral:rRNA from 1 species
GAUUAAGUGUCUUAAGGGCAUUUGGUGGAUGCCUUGGCGUAUAGAGGCGAUGAAAGACGUGGUAUGCUGCGAUAAGCUACGGGGAGCUGCAAACAGGCUUUGAUCCGUGGAUUUCUGAAUGGGGAAACCCACCCCUGUAGGGGUAUCCUGCACUGAAUACAUAGGUGUAGGAGGCGAACCCGGCGAACUGAAACAUCUAAGUAGCCGGAGGAAAGGACAUCAACAGAGACCCCCCUAGUAGCGGCGAGCGAACGGGGGCCAGGCCAGUGGCCAUAGAGUAAGAACGGGAAGUGGAUGGAAAGCCACGCUGUAAAGGGUGAUAGCCCCGUACCGGUAGAAAUCUUUAUGGUCCUCGAGUAGGGCGGGACACGUGAAAUCCUGUCUGAACAUGGGGGGACCACCCUCCAAGCCUAAGUACUCCUAUACGACCGAUAGCGAACAAGUACCGUGAGGGAAAGGUGAAAAGCACCGCAAUGCGCGGGGUGAAAGAGAUCCUGAAACCGAAUGCCUACAAACAGCUGGAGCCCGCAAGGGUGACAGCGUACCUUUUGUAUAAUGGGUCAGCGAGUUAGUCUGUCGAGCAAGCUUAAGCCGUUAGGUGUAGGCGUAGCGAAAGCGAGUCUGAAUAGGGCGUUUAGUUCGUUGGAUUAGACCCGAAACCGAGUGAUCUAGGCAUGGGCAGGUUGAAGGUGCUGUAACAGGCACUGGAGGACCGAACCGACUAACGUUGAAAAGUUAGCGGAUGACCUGUGCUUAGGGGUGAAAGGCCAAUCAAACUCGGAUAUAGCUGGUUCUCCGCGAAAACUAUUUAGGUAGUGCGUCACGUAUUGCCAUCGGGGGUAGAGCACUGAAUGGGCUAGGGGGCCGCGAGGCUUACCAAACCUAAUCAAACUCCGAAUACCGAUGAGUACAGCGUGGCAGACACACUAUGGGUGCUAAGGUCCAUAGUGGAAAGGGAAACAGCCCUAACCGCCGUCUAAGGUCCCUAAGUUAUGAUUAAGUGGGAAAGGAUGUGGGAAGGCCAAGACAACCAGGAAGUUGGCUUAGAAGCAGCCAUCUUUUAAAGAAAGCGUAACAGCUCACUGGUCUAGUUAAGCCGUCCUGCGCCGAAAAUGUAACGGGGCUCAAAUCAUACACCGAAGACGCGGGUGUGUAUCUUUGAUACACGCGGUAGCGGAGCGUUCCGUAGGCCUGUGAAGCCGUACCUGUGAGGGGCGGUGGAGGUAUCGGAAGUGCGAAUGCUGACAUGAGUAGCGACAAAGAGUGUGAGAAACACUCUCGCCGAAAGUCCAAGGGUUCCUGAGCAAGGCUAAUCCGCUCAGGGUAAGUCGGCCCCUAAGUCGAGGGCGAAAGCCGUAGACGAUGGGAAUGAGGUUAAUAUUCCUCAACCUGUGGAAAGUGACGAAUGACUUGAUCUGUACGUCCUUAUUGGAUUGGAUGUGCAGUGCGGUUGUUCCAGGAAAUAGCUUCCACAACAGACCGUACCCUAAACCAACACAGGUGGACAGGUAGAGUAUACUAAGGCGCUUGAGAGAACUACGUUGAAGGAACUCGGCAAAUUGCCUCCGUAACUUCGGGAGAAGGAGGCCCUGCACUUAGGCAACUAGGUGUAGGGGGCACAAAAUUGGGGGUAGCGACUGUUUAUUAAAAACACAGGGCUCUGCGAAGUCGCAAGACGACGUAUAGGGUCUGACGCCUGCCCGGUGCCUGAAGGUUAAGAGGAGGUGUGAGAGCUCCGAAUUGAAGCCCAGGUAAACGGCGGCCGUAACUAUAACGGUCCUAAGGUAGCGAAAUUCCUUGUCGGGUAAGUUCCGACCUGCACGAAUGGCGUAACGACUUCCCCACUGUCUCCAACGUAGACUCAGCGAAAUUGAAUUCCCCGUGAAGAUGCGGGGUACCCGCGGUCAGACGGAAAGACCCCGUGCACCUUUACUAUAGCUUUGCAUUGGUAUUAGGUUUUACAUGUGUAGGAUAGGUGGGAGCCGUUGAACCUCUGGCGCCAGUUGGAGGGGAGGCAUCCUUGAAAUACCACCCUUGUGAGAUUUGAUAUCUAACCGCGGCCCGUUAUCCGGGUCCGGGACCCUGCAUGGUGGGUAGUUUGACUGGGGCGGUCGCCUCCUAAAGAGUAACGGAGGCGCGCGAUGGUGAGCUCAGGCUGGUCGGAAAUCAGCUGUAGAGUGCAAUGGCAUAAGCUCGCCUGACUGCGAGGCCGACAGGCCGAGCAGAGACGAAAGUCGGUCAUAGUGAUCCGGUGGUCCCGCGUGGAAGGGCCAUCGCUCAACGGAUAAAAGGUACGCCGGGGAUAACAGGCUGAUCUCCCCCAAGAGUCCACAUCGACGGGGAGGUUUGGCACCUCGAUGUCGGCUCAUCACAUCCUGGGGCUGGAGCAGGUCCCAAGGGUUUGGCUGUUCGCCAAUUAAAGUGGUACGUGAGCUGGGUUUAGAACGUCGUGAGACAGUUCGGUCCCUAUCUGCCGUGGGUGUUCGAGACUUGAGAGGAGCUGCCCCUAGUACGAGAGGACCGGGGUGGACGAACCUCUGGUGGACCGGUUGUUGCGCCAGCAGCAUAGCCGGGUAGCUAAGUUCGGAAAGGAUAACCGCUGAAAGCAUCUAAGCGGGAAGCCCCCCUCAAAACCAGGUCUCGCUGAGGGUCGUGGAAGACCACCACGUCGAUAGGCUGGGUGUGGAAGUGUGGCAACACAUGAAGCUAACCAGUCCUAAUCACCCGAUUGACUUAAUCUG